rnacentral:rRNA from 1 species
CGGCGAUGUCCGAAUGGGGAAACCCAGUGCAAUUCGUUGCACUAUCGUUAACUGAAUACAUAGGUUAACGAGGCGAACCGGGGGAACUGAAACAUCUAAGUACCCCGAGGAAAAGAAAUCAACCGAGAUUCCCCCAGUAGCGGCGAGCGAACGGGGAGCAGCCCAGAGUCUGAAUCAGCUUGUGUGUUAGUGGAACGGUCUGGAAAGUCCGACGGUACAGGGUGAUAGUCCCGUACACCAAAAUGCACAGGCUGUGAACUCGAAGAGUAGGGCGGGACACGUGGUAUCCUGUCUGAAUAUGGGGGGACCAUCCUCCAAGGCUAAAUACUCCUGACUGACCGAUAGUGAACCAGUACCGUGAGGGAAAGGCGAAAAGAACCCCGGCGAGGGGAGUGAAAAAGAACCUGAAACCGUGUACGUACAAGCAGUGGGAGCACCUUCGGGUGUGACUGCGUACCUUUUGUAUAAUGGGUCAGCGACUUAUAUUCUGUAGCAAGGUUAACCGUAUAGGGGAGCCGCAGGGAAACCGAGUCUUAACUGGGCGUUAAGUUGCAGGGUAUAGACCCGAAACCCGGUGAUCUAGCCAUGGGCAGGUUGAAGGUUGGGUAACACUAACUGGAGGACCGAACCGACUAAUGUUGAAAAAUUAGCGGAUGACUUGUGGCUGGGGGUGAAAGGCCAAUCAAACCGGGAGAUAGCUGGUUCUCCCCGAAAGCUAUUUAGGUAGCGCCUCGUGAAUUCAUCUUCGGGGGUAGAGCACUGUUUCGGCUAGGGGGUCAUCCCGACUUACCAACCCGAUGCAAACUACGAAUACCGAAGAAUGUUAUCACGGGAGACACACGGCGGGUGCUAACGUCCGUCGUGAAGAGGGAAACAACCCAGACCGCCAGCUAAGGUCCCAAAGUCAUGGUUAAGUGGGAAACGAUGUGGGAAGGCACAGACAGCCAGGAUGUUGGCUUAGAAGCAGCCAUCAUUUAAAGAAAGCGUAAUAGCUCACUGGUCGAGUCGGCCUGCGCGGAAGAUGUAACGGGGCUAAACCAUGCACCGAAGCUGCGGCAGCGACACUAUGUGUUGUUGGGUAGGGGAGCGUUCUGUAAGCCUGCGAAGGUGUGCUGUGAGGCAUGCUGGAGGUAUCAGAAGUGCGAAUGCUGACAUAAGUAACGAUAAAGCGGGUGAAAAGCCCGCUCGCCGGAAGACCAAGGGUUCCUGUCCAACGUUAAUCGGGGCAGGGUGAGUCGACCCCUAAGGCGAGGCCGAAAGGCGUAGUCGAUGGGAAACAGGUUAAUAUUCCUGUACUUGGUGUUACUGCGAAGGGGGGACGGAGAAGGCUAUGUUAGCCGGGCGACGGUUGUCCCGGUUUAAGCAUGUAGGCUGGUUGUCCAGGCAAAUCCGGAUAAUCAAGGCUGAGGUGUGAUGACGAGGCACUACGGUGCUGAAGUAACAAAUGCCCUGCUUCCAGGAAAAGCCUCUAAGCAUCAGGUAACAUCAAAUCGUACCCCAAACCGACACAGGUGGUCAGGUAGAGAAUACCAAGGCGCUUGAGAGAACUCGGGUGAAGGAACUAGGCAAAAUGGUGCCGUAACUUCGGGAGAAGGCACGCUGGUGUGUAGGUGAAGUCCCUGCGGAUGGAGCUGAGACCAGUCGAAGAUACCAGCUGGCUGCAACUGUUUAUUAAAAACACAGCACUGUGCAAACACGAAAGUGGACGUAUACGGUGUGACGCCUGCCCGGUGCCGGAAGGUUAAUUGAUGGGGUUAUCCGUAAGGAGAAGCUCUUGAUCGAAGCCCCGGUAAACGGCGGCCGUAACUAUAACGGUCCUAAGGUAGCGAAAUUCCUUGUCGGGUAAGUUCCGACCUGCACGAAUGGCGUAAUGAUGGCCAGGCUGUCUCCACCCGAGACUCAGUGAAAUUGAACUCGCUGUGAAGAUGCAGUGUACCCGCGGCAAGACGGAAAGACCCCGUGAACCUUUACUAUAGCUUGACACUGAACAUUGAGCCUUGAUGUGUAGGAUAGGUGGGAGGCUUUGAAGCGUGGACGCCAGUCUGCGUGGAGCCAACCUUGAAAUACCACCCUUUAAUGUUUGAUGUUCUAACGUUGGCCCCUUACCGGGGUUGCGGACAGUGUCUGGUGGGUAGUUUGACUGGGGCGGUCUCCUCCCAAAGCGUAACGGAGGAGCACGAAGGUUAGCUAAUCCUGGUCGGACAUCAGGAGGUUAGUGCAAUGGCAUAAGCUAGCUUGACUGCGAGCGUGACGGCGCGAGCAGGUGCGAAAGCAGGUCAUAGUGAUCCGGUGGUUCUGAAUGGAAGGGCCAUCGCUCAACGGAUAAAAGGUACUCCGGGGAUAACAGGCUGAUACCGCCCAAGAGUUCAUAUCGACGGCGGUGUUUGGCACCUCGAUGUCGGCUCAUCACAUCCUGGGGCUGAAGUAGGUCCCAAGGGUAUGGCUGUUCGCCAUUUAAAGUGGUACGCGAGCUGGGUUUAGAACGUCGUGAGACAGUUCGGUCCCUAUCUGCCGUGGGCGCUGGAGAAUUGAGGGGGGCUGCUCCUAGUACGAGAGGACCGGAGUGGACGCAUCACUGGUGUUCGGGUUGUCAUGCCAAUGGCACUGCCCGGUAGCUAAAUGCGGAAGAGAUAAGUGCUGAAAGCAUCUAAGCACGAAACUUGCCCCGAGAUGAGUUCUCCCUGAGACUUUAAGUCUCCUGAAGGAACGUUGAAGACGACGACGUUGAUAGGCCGGGUGUGUAAGCGCAGCGAUGCGUUGAGCUAACCGGUACUAAUGAACCGUGAGGCUUAACCUU